rnacentral:rRNA from 1 species
GAUGAACGCUGGCGGCGUGCCUAAUACAUGCAAGUCGAGCGAACAGACGCGGCGCUUGCUCCUCUGACGUUAGCGGCGGACGGGUGAGUAACACGUGGAUAACCUACCUAUAAGACUGGGAUAACUUCGGGAAACCGGAGCUAAUACCGGAUAAUAUAUUGAACCGCAUGGUUCAAUAGAGAAAGUCGGUUUUGCUGUCACUUAUAGAUGGUUCCGCGCCGCAUUAGCUAGUUGGUAAGGUAACGGCUUACCAAGGCAACGAUGCGUAGCCGACCUGAGAGGGUGAUCGGCCACACUAGAACGGAGACACGGUCCAGACUCCUACGGGAGGCAGCAGAAGGGAAUCUUCCGCAAUAGGCGAAAGCCUGACGGAGCAACGCCGCGUCAGUGAUGAAGGUCUUCGGAUCGUAAAACUCUGUUAUUAGGGAAGAACAAAUGUGUAAGUAACUAUGCACGUCUUGACGGUACCUAAUCAGAAAGCCACGGCUAACUACGUG